rnacentral:tRNA from 1 species
GGUGGUAUUCCCGAGUGGCCAAAGGGGGCAGACUGUAAAUCUGCUAGCAGUGCUUACCAUGGUUCGAAUCCAUGUGCCACCA